UACGGGGGGGGCAAGCGUUGUUCGGAAUUACUGGGCGUAAAGGGCUCGUAGGCGGCCAACUAAGUCGGAUGUGAAAUCCCCAGGCUCAACUUGGGAACUGCAUCCGAUACUGGAUGGCUUGAAUCCGGGAGAGGGAUGCAGAAUUCCAGGUGUAGCGGUGAAAUGCGUAGAUAUCUGGAGGAAUACCGGUGGCGAAGGCGGCAUCCUGGACCGGCAUUGACGCUGAUGAGCGAAAGCUAGGAGAGCAAACGGG
rnacentral:rRNA from 1 species